CUAAUCUCACUACAGAUCUCGGACGACGCAGAGCGCCUUUGUUGGACGCUUGAGGAUAAAUGAUGAAGAACUGUCACUAACGACGGGCGUCAAUCGAGCUUCUAAAACGUACAAUUGACCAGAAUCGCAAAAUGUCUGUCUAUCGCCACCCCGGAAGACUGAUUUUAGUCCAUGACUUUUUUAUACGAUCCGAACAACGCAUCUCUGGAUUAAAAAACAGCUUUUUUCUGAUCUCACGCUUCUUAAAUACUGAUCACGAACGAGUCUUAACAGCAAUGCAAGACCGUCUUGAAAGCAUGAAAUAAUAUCUUAUGGAUCCGCGGAGGUAUCUUGGGUGUUAAAUGCCGCUGAUAUCGAACGAUGGUGCUGCAGAAAAGUUUAUGAAAUAUGGAUGAACAGGAUACCUUAUAGCUAAGACGAUUAUGUGCAAUUGGCGGUAGUGAUUCGCAUAUCGGAUUGUACGUUUUCUAUCUAAGAAUAAGUAUGUGAGCUUCGACCUGAGUGGGCACAAAGUUAUCGGAGUAAGGGAAAUAAAUAUUCUAUCUUAUACUCCUCCGUUCCGUACAGAAGAUGUCCUAAAUUUUUCUGAAGGUAUGUAAUGUAAAGACUUUGCAGAUGU